GGGCAUGUAGCGCAGUUGGUAGCGCGCUCGCUUAGCACCAAGCACGGUUGCUGGCGUCCUGCGAGAGGUCUUGGGUUCAAAUCCCAACUUGUCCA